AGUGAACGCUGGCGGUAGGCCUAACACAUGCAAGUCGAACGGCAGCACAGUAAGAGCUUGCUCUUACGGGUGGCGAGUGGCGGACGGGUGAGGAAUACAUCGGAAUCUACUUUUUCGUGGGGGAUAACGUAGGGAAACUUACGCUAAUACCGCAUACGACCUACGGGUGAAAGCAGGGGAUCUUCGGACCUUGCGCGAUUGAAUGAGCCGAUGGCGGAUUAGCUAGUUGGCGGGGUAAAGGCCCACCAAGGCGACGAUCCGCAGCUGGUCUGAGAGGAUGAUCAGCCACACUGGAACUGAGACACGGUCCAGACUCCUACGGGAGGCAGCAGUGGGGAAUAUUGGACAAUGGGCGCAAGCCUGGUCCAGCCAUACCGCGUGGGUGAAGAAGGCCUUCGGGUUGUAAAGCCCUUUUGUUGGGAAAGAAAAGCAGCAGGUUAAUACCCCGCUGUUCUGACGGUACCCAAAGAAUAAGCACCGGCUAACUUCGUG
rnacentral:rRNA from 1 species